rnacentral:lncRNA from 10 species
GGCCACCCUCCCAAAGGAUCCCUGUGAUGCCAGGCAGGAAUGGUCUCUCUGGGGACCCAGAGAGAUCCCAGGGCCUUUCCCACUGCUUCCUCUACCCUCGUAUGUUGCUUGGUUCUCUAAACUGACUCAGCUCCAGAUGACUCAUCUGAAGCCUGAAGACACUAAGCAGAUGGCCCGAGCCACAGAGGAUUUCACAGAAGGGCCCGGAUGAGAAGAGGACAGAUGCAGGGUACUGAUCACUGCACUAGAAUAUGUGCAACCUUCCACGCUGCCUUGGGGAUUCUAUUCCUGCCUAUUGUCCUUGGCUUCUUCCCCUUGUCCACUUCUGAACCCAUAAGCACGAAUUUCCUCUCCUCUCCCCAUUCCUAAUUAUCCCCAUCUCACGUGGGUGGCAGAAAGUCUUCACAUUUUCCAGGCUUCAUGGCUUAGAACUCCUUAGGGAAUGGUACCAGUCUCUAUAUCCAGGAUAAGUAGGUAUGCAGUUAUUUUGUAAGACCAGGACAUUUGUGGAAGAGAGAAACCACGUGAGCAAAGGCAGGCAGGUGUGGAGUAUGCACACCAGUGAAUCUAAGACUGUGCAAACUGUAUGAAUAACAAAUGAAAGGAAACAGAGCAGGCCUAAGUUUCAAGUGUGAGAAUGGCAAACAACCUGUUACCUAUAUCAACAGUUCAUUCUUUUCUCUUGCUGAGUAAUAUUCCAUUGUAUGCAUGCACUACGGUUUAUCUAUAAACCUGUUGAAGAAUAUGUGGGUAGUUUCCAAGGUUUGCCUAUUACAAAUAAAAUUACUAUAAAUAUUUGUGUACUGGAUUUGUGUACACAUUUUAAUUUUUCUAGGGUAAAUAUCCAGGAGUGAGAAUUAUGGGGCAUAUGGCGAGUGUAUAAUGAUUUACAAGAAAUUUUCAAGACAGGGCACAGUGGCUCAUGCCUGUAAUCUCAGCACUGAGAAAAAGAGGCAGGAGGAAGGCUUGAGGCCAGAAGAUCAAGAUCAGCCUGGGAAACACAGCGAGAUCCCUU